CAAGCCCUGGAAACGGGGUCUAAUACCGGAUAACACUCCUGCCUGCAUGGGCGGGGGUUGAAAGCUCCGGCGGUGAAGGAUGAGCCCGCGGCCUAUCAGCUUGUUGGUGGGGUAAUGGCCCACCAAGGCGACGACGGGUAGCCGGCCUGAGAGGGCGACCGGCCACACUGGGACUGAGACACGGCCCAGACUCCUACGGGAGGCAGCAGUGGGGAAUAUUGCACAAUGGGCGAAAGCCUGAUGCAGCGACGCCGCGUGAGGGAUGACGGCCUUCGGGUUGUAAACCUCUUUCAGCAGGGAAGAAGCGAAAGUGACGGUACCUGCAGAAGAAGCGCCGGCUAACUACGUGCCAGCAGCCGCGGUAAUACGUAGGGCGCAAGCGUUGUCCGGAAUUAUUGGGCGUAAAGAGCUCGUAGGCGGCUUGUCACGUCGGAUGUGAAAGCCCGAGGCUUAACCUCGGGUCUGCAUUCGAUACGGGCUAGCUAGAGUGUGGUAGGGGAGAUCGGAAUUCCUGGUGUAGCGGUGAAAUGCGCAGAUAUCAGGAGGAACACCGGUGGCGAAGGCGGAUCUCUGGGCCAUUACUGACGCUGAGGAGCGAAAGCGUGGGGAGCGAACAGGAUUAGAUACCCUGGUAGUCCACGCCGUAAACGUUGGGAACUAGGUGUUGGCGACAUUCCACGUCGUCGGUGCCGCAGCUAACGCAUUAAGUUCCCCGCCUGGGG
rnacentral:rRNA from 1 species